UUGUAAGUGACAAGCAGCGAGCAGGUGAUUCAUGGUCACCUUUACCUCACUGUUUUGUUACAGACAUGGGUGUAACUCUCCUCUGCUGGGAAAGAGAAACUUGUGCCCAAAUGGAUCCAAGGCUGCGUGUGAGUUGUUCGAGAAAACAAAAAUUUUCUGCUGACUAAUGAGUCUCUGACUUCCUCCAGUCUACCAAAUGUUCUAGUCAGUAAGCUACUUUAGCAAACAAAGGAGAAUGGAGAGAGGGAUGGCUGGAAACAACAGAAAGGAAGAGAAAGAGAGACCUCUUUGAUGGCAACUAACAACAUGGAAUCUCUGUUUCUGCUUUUCCAUUUUUGAAACAUUUUCUGUAAGGCAGAGAAAUACAAAUGUUUGAAUCUUUGUGAGGUUACUUCAUAGAUAAUUAAACAAUUUAAAUGCUGAGAUUUUAAAAUUGCUUAAGCAACAUAGAAGCUUAAUUGUGCUCAAUAAAAG
rnacentral:lncRNA from 1 species